AUCAGCUGAGCUUUUGUUAAUUGCAGAUUUUUCUUUAGUAGGUUUGGGGUCUGAGAUUCUGCAUUUCUGACAAGUUCCCAGAUGAUGCCAAU
rnacentral:pre_miRNA from 1 species